UGGCUCAGUUGGUUAAGUGUCUGACUUCAGCUCAGAUCUCAUGGUUUGUGGGUUCAAGCCCCAC
rnacentral:tRNA from 1 species